rnacentral:rRNA from 1 species
CCUACGGGCGGCAGCAGUGGGGAAUAUUGGACAAUGGGCGAAAGCCUGAUCCAGCCAUGCCGCGUGUGUGAAGAAGGCCUUCGGGUUGUAAAGCACUUUCAGUGGGGAAGAAAGCCUUGGGGCUAAUACCCUCGAGGAAGGACAUCACCCACAGAAGAAGCACCGGCUAACUCCGUGCCAGCAGCCGCGGUAAUACGGAGGGUGCGUGCGUUAAUCGGAAUUACUGGGCGUAAAGCGCGCGUAGGCGGUCUGAUAAGCCGGUUGUGAAAGCCCCGGGCUCAACCUGGGAACGGCAUCCGGAACUGUCAGGCUAGAGUGCAGGAGAGGAAGGUAGAAUUCCCGGUGUAGCGGUGAAAUGCGUAGAGAUCGGGAGGAAUACCAGUGGCGAAGGCGGCCUUCUGGACUGACACUGACGCUGAGGUGCGAAAGCGUGGGUAGCAAACAGGAUUAGAUACCCGAGUAGUC